UGGUUCGGCUGAACCUGGGGCCUGACUGCUGCAAUGCCACAAACUUCUGUCAAGUUAUUUCUGAAGUGCCAUGGUAUAAGCAAGAGACAUCAUCCACUCCCAGUGAACCACAGAAAUUCUUCUUAGGGAAGAAAACAGGAGUAUUUCAAUGUCUGCCAUAAUUCCAUAUAAUGGAAAGAUAAAAAGCAGUGAAUAGACUUCUAAACAACA